GUGGGGAAUAUUGCACAAUGGGCGCAAGCCUGAUGCAGCGACGCCGCGUGAGGGAUGACGGCCUUCGGGUUGUAAACCUCUUUCAGCACGGAAGAAGCGAAAGUGACGGUACGUGCAGAAGAAGCGCCGGCUAACUACGUGCCAGCAGCCGCGGUAAUACGUAGGGCGCAAGCGUUGUCCGGAAUUAUUGGGCGUAAAGAGCUCGUAGGCGGUUUGUCGCGUCUGCUGUGAAAGCCCGGGGCUUAACCCCGGGUGUGCAGUGGGUACGGGCAGACUUGAGUGCAGUAGGGGAGACUGGAACUCCUGGUGUAGCGGUGAAAUGCGCAGAUAUCAGGAAGAACACCGAUGGCGAAGGCAGGUCUCUGGGCUGUUACUGACGCUGAGGAGCGAAAGCAUGGGGAGCGAACAGGAUUAGAAACCCCAGUAGUCC
rnacentral:rRNA from 1 species